rnacentral:misc_RNA from 1 species
UUUUAAUAUUAAACCUAAAAGUAUUAUAUUAAAAUUAAUCGUCAAAAUCUCACUACAAAAGCUCAAAAUUCUAUGAUGAAGAACAAAGUGACCAACCAACAGCCAUCAAUUUACAUAAGUGGACCAGAACAAAAACAAACCAUGACAUCAGAUAACAAAAUCGUUGCAUCAUUUGUCAGAACAGAUAAUCACCCGCUCAAAACUCUAAAUCCAAAAGUGCCUGAGAAUUUAUGAUGUCAACGCUCAUUGAAAUACUGCAGUUAUUUUUGUUAAAUAAAAAAAAAAUUAGUAUACUACAGUUCACGAACUAUCCAAUGAGCUUUUUAAAAAAGCUACCCAUAUUCAUGCCUGAGUAAACUUGAACUUAAUUUCCUAAACAAGCCAUGGAAAGUGCCAGAAACCCCUUCUCAUUCAUUCACUGAAGAUUAGUACUCUAGAAAAUGAAAUUAAUGAAUCCUAGAAGAUGAAAGAAACAUUCCACAAAAUUUAUUUACUUGCAACACCACAGUACUAUCUUUAUGGCAUGAAUUUAAAUCCUACCUUUAUUUUUCUUCUGUUGUUGUAGCAAUGGAUGGAAUGAAUUGAGGCUGCAAAUUCCGUCAUUGCGAAGCUUUCUUGACAUUUUUUAGUAGCCGCUGAGGCGUGUAUAGCUACAGAUUCACGAGUAGAAGCUCAAGAGAGCACGCUUAUUUGACUUGGACAGGCAGAUGUAUGUAUGGCAGUGUCUACCUUAAUCUUCGCUGGGUUCUUUAAUUAGUUGCAGUUGGGAGAGCCAAAUACCGCCAAGAAAAAGAAAAACAUUGUUUCAGAUUUUCUUUCGCUGUUGGUUAUUGAGUGAUUGAAGCUGCAAGAUGACCUGAUGAUGGAACCCCAUAUAUGUACACACACAUAUAUAUCCAACUAGGUUUUCUAUUUUUCUGUCCCAAAACCCAUGAACAAUCAGGAAAUAUUCUUUUUUUAAGCUACGAGGAUGUAUGGGUACUUUUUAGUACUCCUAAAGCCUUUCCCUUUGUCUUAAAUUCACAUGAAUAAAUCAGAAAAGUUUGUACCCAAAACUAGUAAUAGAAUAAUCUAUAAAAUAUAUGUAUAUGGAAAGGUUUGUUUAGUUCAUUACCAGAUCAUGCUGGCAGCUUCAACCUCUCAAACCAACACUAAUAUCAAACAAGAAACAAUACCAAAAUGGGCAGUGAGGUUUUGUGUUUGUGGGAAUUGAAGAACUUUGAGAAGAAGAUGAAGGUGAAGAUCUUUACACCUAAGCUUCGACAAAGGAAAAGCUUGAACCAUGCAUGUUUUUGGGUAGGAGAGAAUCCUCGUGACUUGCUCUCACUUCUCUCCAUUUAUAAAAAAAUGCACCCUCUUCUCUCCUCCUUCCUUGUACUGUGCCACAAAAGGAGUAUUCAAUUUGGUCCUUCCUUACAGCUAUUGGCACUGACCAUUUGCCCUCUCUCUUUCUCCCUCAA